rnacentral:rRNA from 1 species
CCCUUAGAUGUCCUGGGCCGCACGCACGCUACAAUGACUCACUCAGAAAGUUUUUCCUGAUCCGGAAGGAUUCGGGUAAUCUUCAUAGCAUGAGUCGUGUUAGGGAUCGAUCUUUGCAAUUAUAGAUCUUGAACGAGGAAUGCCUAGUAAGUGCAGCUCAUCAGGCUGUACUGAUUACGUCCCUGCCCUUUGUACACACCGCCCGUCGCUCCUACCGAUUGAGUGGUCCGGUGAACCUUCUGGAUUAAGCAGCAAUGCUUGAGAAGUUAGGUAAACCUUAUCACUUAGAGGAAGGAGAAGUCGUAACA